CUGGGCUACACGCGGGCUACAAUGGGUGGGACAAUGGGUAUCGACACCGAAAGGUGAAGGCAAUACUCCUAAACCCAUACCGUAGUUCGGAUUGUGGGCUGCAACUCGCCCACAUGAAGCUGGAAUCUGUAGUAAUCGUGUCUCAAAAUGGCACGGUGAAUAUGUCCCUGCUCCUU
rnacentral:rRNA from 1 species